rnacentral:rRNA from 1 species
UACAGAGGAGCCAAGCGUUGUUCGGAUUUACUGGGCGUAAAGGGCGCGUAGGCGGUCAGCACAAGUCAGUUGUGAAAUCUCCGGGCUUAACUCGGAAAGGUCAACUGAUACUGUGCGACUAGAGUGCGGAAGGGGCAACUGGAAUUCUCGGUGUAGCGGUGAAAUGCGUAGAUAUCGAGAGGAACACCUGCGGCGAAGGCGGGUUGCUGGGCCGACACUGACGCUGAUGCGCGAAAGCCAGGGGAGCGAACGGG